CACAGCCACUCAGCACAGCCCACCUCGCCCAUUGAACUAAAUCUGUAAACCCUAGCCGCACCGCAUUGCCGCAAGCUCAGUUGCCCAGAUGCGCUGCGGCGCUGACGCCCAUUCGCCGUCACCCUCACUCGCGCGACUGGGCGACUGGCGAGUCGCUUCUCCGCCGUUCGCCCUCUCUCCACUCGCCAGGAAGCGAACCCCUAAGUGCCAGUCGCCACGGCCACGCCUCUCGAGCAAUAGCCGCCGCUACCGGCCCAUCAGAUGGAGUCACCGUCCCGUCCACGCCGGCACGCCAACCCUUCGGCCAUGUCGCGCCGUCCCGUCCAUGGAUCCAAGCCGGCACGCCGCACCGUCCCGUCCACGGAUCCACGCCGGCACGCCGCGUCGCCGCCCCUUCGGUCUCGCCGUCCCGUCCACGAAUCCACGCCAGCACGCCGCCCAUUCGGGCUCGACGUUCACGGUGAGCCUUGGGAAUGUCAACUCCAGGAACCAGUGGGUCGCAGGCUGCAGGUGCAGGAGCAGGAGCAGCUGCAGGUGCUAGCUGUUCUCGUUCACCCUGCGCCGGGAGGAGGGAAGCGGUGCGGUGCUAUGAAGUCUAACCAUACUCGCAAUGGCGGACAACGAGUAGGAUGAGAGGAAGGAGGAGGUCGAUGAGCAUUUGAAGUUCGGUGAGUAGCUACACGUUGCAAGAGAAAAUUAAACUGCCGAGCCCUGAGGGUAGGGUUGAUUUGAAGUUCGGGUGCUAGAAGCAUUGGAUUUUCACUCUCGAAAUGCUCUUGGUGCUGUCCUGCAUUUUUCUAUAUUUGACAAAUAGCUCACUCCUGUUGAUCCGACCAAGAAAAAGGAGGUUGUGAUCCAAGGACCAAGAUCCAUCUGAUGAAGUGGAUAAGUUGGUAGACAAGACAGAGAGCUUGGUAGGUACGUGUAGUAUCUCCACUACUUAAAACGUUUGUAAAAUCCUUCCGUUGUGCGCGGUCUGCCCCUGCUCCCCCGUCCGCCCGCAAUCCAAUGCCCCUUCUGCUUCCGCUUCGUCCCGUGUUCGUCCCCUAACCGCUUCGUCACCUUCUUUCCGGUUGUUACGCUAAUUUGGAAUCCUCAUUUGGAAUCCAACCGUGAGGCCGUGCCGUCGCAGCCUCUUGUCCUCCACCUCUGCCGCGUCAGCCGCAAAGUUGGCCACUACGACCCCGCUCUUCCCCAGAUGCCCCCACCCGCACCAAUACACGCACGGUCAUGCCUCCCCUUCCUCGCCUCUGCCGCGUCGCAGAUCGGCAACGGCAACCGAGGCUAGAGUUCCGACGACCUUGGGCCGAUCUGGCGGCGAUCGGUGCUUUCCCCCAUGUGGAAUUGCACGGAUCCGGGCCUACUGUGGCCAAAUCUGGUAGUGGAGCAUCACGUUGAUCUUGGUCCUGGUGCCGGUCAUGUCGGCGGCUCGGCUGGACUUUGAUGAUGACGACGACUCCUGCGUGCUAGACGAGCUGCUAGCCAUCGACGAGGAGGCGGAGCGGAGCCGGCUGGACGCGGACAGCGGGGGCGCGGCAGAGGCGGUGCGGUGGGCAUAGUCGAUGGUGCUGGUCCUCGACAACAACAACACGCGCCGCGCCGUGGACGACCACACUGAGCUGCUGCUUUUGGGGUACGUGCCCUGGUGCGAGAGCAGUGUCUAGCUCAUGUCCUGGUUCGCCGAGGUCGCCGCGGCGCUGCAUGCGAUGGGCAACACUGUCGUGUUUGCCAAGCUCGACAGGGAGUGGUACCCUAAGGUGGCGGCCGCCAUCGGGAUCAAGGGUUCCCCACCGUGCUCCUCUUCAUCAACGGCACCGAGCACGCCUACACUGGCCUCCACACCAAGGACGCGAUAGUUACUUUGGUAAGAAAGAAGACUGGUGCGCCGGUCAUCAGGCUUCAGUCUAGGGAUUCUGCUGAGUUCCUGAAAAAGCACCAUUCUGCCUCAGUACUCAUUCCAGCUAUGCGCAUGGUGGGUAACAUUGUUACUGGAGAUGAUUUGCAGACUCAGUGUACAGGUCUCAUGAAACAGAUGGUUGUGGACUUGUGGUCUGGUGCAGUGUACAGUCUUCGAGUUUGGUGAGCCAAGUUUUGCCGGUAUGAAAAAGAAGAAACAUUUUAUCAUCCGUGCGAAUUUCAAGUGGAACAUGAUUCUUCUCUUACUGAAGCUAGAGAUGAUGAUGAUGUUAUUGUUGCUUGGCAGGGUAUUUAAUAUUCUGCGUGAGAAUAAUCCAGAUCUUGCCAGCGAUAGACGAAGA